rnacentral:rRNA from 1 species
AUUGAACGCUGGCGGCAGGCCUAACACAUGCAAGUCGAGCGCGAGGGGGAGGGGUGAGUGAUGUCUCGGAGACUGCCCGAUGGAGAGGGAUAUAAACACGAGAAGGUAGCUAUUAUCGCAUCCCCCAAGAUGUGCCCCGAUGGGAUUAGCUGGUAGGUGGGGGUACGGCUCACCUCGGCGACGAGCCCCAGCUGGUCUGGGAGGUGGACCAGCCACACUGGAACUGAGACACGGUCCAGACUCCUACGGGAGGCAGCAGUGGGGAAUAUUGCACAAUGGGCGCAAGCCUGAUGCAGCCAUGCCGCGUGUGUGAAGAAGGCCUUCGGGUUGUAAAGCACUUUCAGCGGGGAGGCGUUACCCGCAGAAGAAGCACCGGCUAACUCCGUGCCAGCAGCCGCGGUAAUUC